rnacentral:lncRNA from 1 species
AGAAUUCCAUUUCUCCUCCAAAUUGUCUGCAGCGUCGUUUGCUAAGCAUUGUGGGACUCCGGUCUUAACUGAUUGCAAAUGUCUCUGAGGUAAAGUUUUCCAUGGGAGUCACCAGCUGGAUUUGGCCAGUGUUCAUUCUCUCUUGAGGUAAAAUUUGCCAAAAGGGGACGGGUAAUAAUGAGAUUCCCACCCUCAAGUCCUGACGUGGCCAUAAGAAGAAGCUGUCAACUGGGGUUUGUUUUCCAUGCAACAGAAGUGCAGAGCACUUACAGAGACCAGGUAAAGUCAUUAAAAAAAAAGUAACUGGACUCUUACUUCUGCUCAGCCAGAGGACUUCCAGUGGUUUGUGAGUACAGCCCCCAAAAAAAGAGGAGCAGUUUCCAGAAAAAACACCUUAAGCCGCCAAGCCAAGCAAUCUUCUUAAAGUGGGUAAAAGCAGGGCUGGCAGGGUGCAGCUUGGAAGCCAGAAACCUUCCUUGUUUCCUUUGCCUGCUCUCGUGGACCCGAAUCCUGGAUUUUAAUAAGGCAGCAAAAUUGAAUUGCCAGGAAGAACGGAGCUGUCACCUGCUGUGUAUCUUCAUUAAGAAUUGAAAUUCUUCAAAAUAAGCUUUCCCACCAGGAUUAAAAGACAGAAAAUCUAUUGUCACAAUUUCUGGAUGUUUGUUCUUGUAUUUCCCAAGGGUCAGAAGUCGUCAUUAAAACACAUAGUUCUCUUCAAAUUGG